GAGUAGACACUGCGGUGCGGUUCGCUCGCCGUCCCAGUCGGAGCUGAGUGUGGGGUCCCAGUGGCUAAGCAGCGCGGCCCCGUGGGCAGCGGCCGAGGGCGGGAGCCCGGGCAGCGGAGCCAGGCCGCUCCCUGGCCCCCCGGCCCCGCCCGCUGCCGCCGCCGCCGCCCACACAUCCGGCAGGAAAGGCGGCCCGAACCCGCCGCCGCCGCUAACGCCAACAACACCAGCGACGCCGCUCGCCCCGGGGCCCGCCGCCCCGGCGCCUGCCGUCGCCGCCUCUUCAGUCGGACUCUCCGCCAUCGCUCCUUCGCUUCCGGGACUGCUCGGCAGCACGUCCGCCGACCAGAGCGGCCGCUGCUCCCUCCCCCUCCCCGCACCACCGAGAGCCGGGCCAGAGUGUCCCCACCCUCCGCUUCCCCGGCCUGGGCGGCGUUGGCUCCGCCCACCCCCGCCCCGACCAGCGAGAGGCACUCUGCAAGAGCGUCCACCCACAGUCCUCCAGGGCGGGCGGGGGUCGGAGCUCGCCGGCCAAGCGAGGGUACUGGGCCUGCGCGGGUCCCGCGCUUUGCGGGAGGAAGUUCUGAGGCGGAUCCGGACUCCUAGGUGCAAUUGAGGACCCAAUUCCAAGGAAUAUUUUAGUUUCAAGCGUUGAAAGGGGAGGAGAGGAGGACCAUUUACCACAUCUAGGAAAGCGACCCUCAGACGUGCCCAAGGGGGCUGGCCAAGCUUGUACAAAGAAUCUUCAACUCAAGGUCUAAAGGGCUGCAGCUGCUUGAAGGACCAGCUCACCAACCCCCAAGGGAACUCCAGAAGGCCUCUAAACUGGGAAGAGGAAGGACCAGGGAGAGGCUGGCAGAACUUUGUGAACUGGCAUUGCUUAGUCCAGUGCUCACUGACUUUUUCAAGGCAACACCUGGCUGCUUUUCCCUGGCAACUUGGCCAGAGGGCAAGAGUGUGCCUUCUGGAGCCACUCCCAUGGCCUCUGGGGAUGGAUGAUACAACCAAGCUGUCUUCCGACAGGAAACUGGAUCCAACCCUCUCUCUCCUCCCCAGCACGCUGGACUGCAUUGAGCCAUCUCUUAGUGCAGCAAAGUUUGGUAGCACCUUGCUCAUGGCAACCUGGAAAGCACUCUCCCCCAAGACAGAGACCAGCAAGUAUCCUGGAGUUCAGGUCACUGCUGUGCUUCAACCCUCUAAACAGAUACAUCGUGAAGAUCCUUCUCCCCUUCCCCAAGGUCCUGUGUCCCCCUGCUCUCUGGAGCAGUCCUUCCCCUCCAGGGCCUAGCCUUUCGUCUUGGGCUCAGUGCCAGGAAUAGAUGAAGAGUUCCCACCCAGGUCACAAAUUGGGGGCUAAAAGGAAAAAUCAGAACUUGGACUGGGUGUUGGAGGCUUCUGAUUAUAAGUAAUAAUAGCUAUAUUAAAAUUUUUAAUAAUA